UGAUGAAGUGAUGGUGCAACGUUUUGGAACUUUAACAAGUGAAUGAUAGUGGCUUCAUUACCAUCUUUGUAACAAUGGUGAUAGAUUCAGGAUCAUGAUGUCAACAAAUUAUAUAUAAAAUCACUAGUCAUGAUCAUGAUCAUGAUCUGGAACUCCAAAAUUGUCUCAAAACAAUCAAUAAAGUUACAGCUGUUUAAAAUUUUAGUCAUCCAUGAAAUCAAUACAUCUGCUUGAAUUUGUCUGUCUCUAACAGCAAAAUUUGGCAAUUAAUAUAUUUUUAAUCAUUUUGUGUAAGGUUUUGAUCCUGUUGAUCUAAGGCUGCAGACUUUUCUGUGCUGUCAGAAGAACUUUAUAUCAGCAGUCAACGAACUCACGGAAUUCUCGAAACCCAGGCCAAGGAAAUCACAUCACCAGGAAACGUGAAACACAUGUUGAAAAAGUCAAGCCAAAUAUCCAACUAUUCUGUCAGGGAAGUGCCCCUGGAGCCUGCAAUUACAAAAAAAACCCUGUGUGUUCUUCUGCUAGAAAUGGUGCUGGAAAUGCAAAUAUGUUCCUCCAGCGACUUAUGGCCACAAGGAUGUUUUGCGCCUGUUAGAAUAACAUGAAAACGAAGAGGAGGGCUGUCCCUAAACGCCCGUGAAAAGAUUGCUAAGCUUCCAUUGAUUGGCAAUUUGGCAUUUUGCAGCUACAACCAAAUCCUACUUAUCUUGUCUGUGUCUAAAGAACUGCUAAUAAUAUGUAUUUUUCUUAAUCUGUUCACUUUUCUUUUCCAAGGAUAAAUCACCAAAUGAGGGUUAUAUUCCCCCAUUGAUUCAUUUGCUUUUGUUGUUUUGCUAUUUUCCUUGUUUUUGUCCUUCUUCCUCUUGUCUUUUAGAAUUAUUACCUUGGCCAUACCAUGACAAACGGAUCAAUCUGUUAAGAGAUAAACAUGAUAAUUUCUCACCAGAAAUUCUGGAAACAAUUAGGGCAGCAAAAACCCAUUGUCUAAUUAUCUUUUAGCCUCAAACUGAGAUGCCCUGGUACUUCUCGAAGGUCCCCAUCUUGCAAUCAAACCUGAGCCUAAAACUCCCUGGUAAGUAAGAGGGAGCAAUCACAAGUGAAUUGGAGGAACAUAAAACAUAUUUUAGACAAAUCAUCAAACUAUACUAUUUUUUAUGAGAAAUUUACAAAUUUUUUUUGGAAUUAAUCAUUACAACUUAAUUUUCGAUUGGUAGAGCUAAAUGCUUUUGUUGUCAAAGGGGGAAAAAAAUUCAUUAUUAGAACUUCAAAGCUGCUAACUUCAUGAGCACAACUCCUUUCCAUCCUACAAUUUAAUGUAUGAAAGAGAAGUCAAUAGGUGUAAGACUUUAGAUUAAAGAUUUAAAAGAUUUCUAAUAUAAAAAAAUAUCAUAGUGAAUAUUAAAAUGUAACGGCUUUGGUUGCUUCCAUUUCCAUUCCAUUUCAUUCAUGACAGCUAAAGCAGAUUAUGCUUAACAAUAAAUUUAUAAUUAAGUCAAAUACCCAUGUGAUCCAAUUACGUAUUUUUCUUUGUGAGGAAGGAAAGGGAAAGAGCCAAAAAUAUCAGAAUGGGAGAUGAAUUUUGCAGAUAAAACCAGACACCUGCAAAGAUAGCAAUAAAUACAUUAAAUAAAUGAACCCAACAAUGAAAGCAACACCACACCAUAGUGCCAACAAAGUUUUGAUCAUAUCCUUUCAGUGCCUUUUUUUUCCUUUUCCUCCCCUUUAUAUGUUUUCAAUCUUUAUUAUGUGGUUCUACUUAUUUUUUUCCUGAAAUGGGACCAUGGAAAUGAUAAGUUCCAAACUUUGAACAAAACCCAAUACAGCUGGCUGAACCUUAGAGAGCGCAGCCGUCCUUGAACAGACCCCACCACACACAUAAACCCAUAUCGCACCCACCCACACACAAACACGAACACAGCCGUUCCAUGAUAGAGAGAUCCUGGUCAACUUAAGCAUCUUCCAUUAACUGCUGUGGGUCUGGCUCACAUGGGAUGACCAACAAGAUUGCAUUAAAAGACAACAGUUUCCAUUCAACACACCCGUCCACUAUGUACCCAAUACAGGACAAAACACUCACAAUCAGAUUCCUGCCCACAUGAUAAUGGUAGAAAACUGAUUAGAAGUUGUGAAACAAAAGUAAAAAAGAAAUAAAAACCAGAGAGAGAAUACACCUAACUUAUUUAUGAGACAGUCACAUUCUAUGUAAAUCAGUAGCAGGAUCAUGGGACUUCCCACGUUUUUAUUGAAGCCCGUAUGAGACCUGCUAAACUUGCUAAGCUUCUACAGCUACAGACAGGGAGGAAAAA